rnacentral:rRNA from 1 species
UACGGGGGGGGCAAGCGUUGUUCGGAAUUACUGGGCGUAAAGGGCUCGUAGGCGGCCAACUAAGUCAGACGUGAAAUCCCUCGGCUUAACCGGGGAACUGCGUCUGAUACUGGAUGGCUUGAAUCCGGGAGAGGGAUGCAGAAUUCCAGGUGUAGCGGUGAAAUGCGUAGAUAUCUGGAGGAAUACCGGUGGCGAAGGCGGCAUCCUGGACCGACAUUGACGCUGAUGAGCGAAAGCUAGGGGAGCAAACGGG